UACAGAGGGUGCGAGCGUUAAUCGGAAUUACUGGGCGUAAAGCGUGCGUAGACGGUUAUUUAAGUCGGAUGUGAAAGCCCCGGGCUCAACCUGGGAAUUGCAUUCGAGACUGAAUAGCUAGGGUACGGUAGAGGGAAGUGGAAUUUCCGGUGUAGCGGUGAAAUGCGUAGAUAUCGGGAGGAACAUCAGUGGCGAAGGCGGCCGCCUGGAUCGAUACUGACGCUGAGGUGCGAAAGCGUGGGGAGCAAACAGG
rnacentral:rRNA from 1 species